rnacentral:lncRNA from 1 species
CAGGGGACUACCAGACAGAUACAGCUCAACAAGUUCUGUUGUGACUUUCUGGUUUCCAAUAGCUUUGGCCUGUGAAUAUCCUUGCCUUUCAAGAAGAUGUUUGAAGAAAAAAAAAUACUAUUUUCUUAAAAAAUUCCUGCAAGAAAUUAAAGCAGUCCUUGAGUCUUGGUGGCAGAGGGAAUCUACAAAGGAGGCAGUACACUUUCCUGCCUUGCAGCUGUUCUAUAUUUAUUCCAUAUUUUCCACAUGGUCAGCUCCAGAUUCCUGGUACAGUCACAGCAUUGCACAGUGUUCAGGCGAGAACAACCUGAAGACAGAGAAAGAUAUGGAAGUGGUUGCAAACAGCUCUGGAGAUCAAAGGGUCCAGGCAAAUUGUUCCCCUCACAUGCUGCUGCCUGCACAGGCAGAGGCAGAAAAAGGAUCAGGAAGAACGCAAGCUGCAGCCCAGUUCUCCAGUUUCCCCCAGCUGGAUAUCACCCCCAAAUGUGUUCAGCGGUCAUUGGCUCCCAUUGCCCCAGUCACCUGCACACCAGGGAAGAGGAGGCCCAGCUGCAUCUGCCCUGGCAGGAACAGCCUACAGCCAGUCAUGAGUUAGACUUAGGCCCUCCUGGACUUGGAAUUACUUCCUACUGCUUCAAUGAAGGCUUAUGCAAUACACUCAGGGGUCCUCACAUUCCUUGAAAAUUAAAGUGAAGGAGGCAUGAACACAGUUUGAAAAAUUUAUUAUAAUUCAGUCUAGGCUUUGUCGUAGUGCUUUUCCAAUAUUCCCAUUACUUCAAAUGAAAGAUAAAUGUAAAAACAUCAACUCUGUAAAAAAAUAUUAGCAUCUUUAGCUGUCUAUGCAUUUACAAUAAAACUCAUAAAAUAAUAUUUUACUCCA